GUCCCCUUAGUUAAAUGGAUAUAACGAGCCCCUCCUAAGGGCUAGUUGCAGGUUCGAUUCCUGCAGGGGACACCAUCCCGCCGAACACCAACGUCCAUCCAUCCCUAUAACAAA
rnacentral:tRNA from 1 species